GAGGAUAUAGCUCAAGUGAUAAAGCAUAUGCCUGACAUGCAUGAGGUUCUGGGUUCAAACCCUACUGCCUUCU
rnacentral:tRNA from 1 species